CCUACGGGGGGCAGCAGUGGGGAAUAUUGCACAAUGGGGGGAACCCUGAUGCAGCGACGCCGCGUGAGUGAAGAAGUAUUUCGGUAUGUAAAGCUCUAUCAGCAGGGAAGAAGAUGACGGUACCUGACUAAUAAGCACCGGCUAACUACGUGCCAGCAGCCGCGGUAAUACGGAGGGUGCAAGCGUUAUCCGGAUUUACUGGGUGUAAAGAGAGCGUAGACGGGAGAGCAAGUCUGGAGUGAAAGCCCGGGGCUCAACCCUGGGACUGCUUUUGAAACUGCUAUGCUAGAGUGUUGGAGAGGUAAGCGGAAUUCCUGGUGUAGCGGUGAAAUGCGUAGAUAUUAGGAGGAACACCAGUGGCGAAGGCGGCUUACUGGACAGUAACUGACGUUGAGGCUCGAAAGCGUGGGGAGCAAACAGGAUUAGAUACCCGGGUAGUC
rnacentral:rRNA from 1 species